AUAAAUAUCAAAUUGACAUGUUUAACAUAUUUAUCGUGUUAUGUAUAUUUCUUGUCACUUGUGUAUAUUAUGUUUACCUUUCAACCAGUGAAGGUUUCACUUUUUGGAAUAAAGCUAUUAUUCGUGGCCCUUUCCGCUCCUCUCAGCUGUUUCAAGAAUCGCGAAAUUCCACAAACUACAAUUCAAGAAUGCUGUUCACAAAUGAAUAGAUUCCUCGAAGACAUGCCAGGAUUUGGUGAGGAGGAGAGAGGGGUGGAAAGUAGCCCAAUUCAUUUCGGGACAACUUUUCACCCCAAAGUUUCUACUGGGAAAGGGUUCUAUGAACAUCGGAUGUUUGAUGGUGAAUCUUCUUCUUCUUAUUCAGCCC